rnacentral:misc_RNA from 1 species
CAAUGAGUGUUUUAUGGCACUCUUUAAAAAUCCAUAUCCACCUUGUGUGCAAUGUUUGUUGGGAGAGAGGCAACUCUUUCCCUUCACAAAUAUCAACCUAUAUCUUUAACCAGUUUGUCUGAAGCAAUGUAUCAUGAGUUAACAUAAUUCUAAAAUA